GGCGCUCACCCGAAGCUCGCAGCUGCCCGGCGCUCAGCCUUUGGGGGGCAGCCCCUUCUCCAGACUCGAUGACAGCCCAAGGGCGCCUCACGCAUCUGUUGCUUCGCUGCAGGGAGAAGCCGGUGUAGGGGCACAAAAAAAGAGACAGGUUAGAGUCGUCGCGCGCCUCCGGGCUCCGCGGGAACGCGCACAGCCUCUGCCACCUCCUGCCGCGUUUACGUUUGGUAAAGCCGAAGAGACCCUCUCCGAGAGGGGUCGAUCGCAAGGGACGCUACACGUCCCCCGCCCUAGGUUGGGCUCUUCCCAGCCCACCGCACCCCGCAAACCUACGGCCCCCCUACACACCCGCGGACAUUGUCACUGCCCCCAUCACACAGUCCCCCCACCCACAUGCUCAAAAGCAUGCACACGCGCACGGACGCACGCCACACAAUCGACCCUCCCAGGUUGGAAUUAUCCGUCAUCCUGAAAUAAUAGCGUCGAUGUGUCGCGCUCCUGCUAUGUUCACAUGCAUUUUCACAAGCACACCUUUGCAGGCACGCUCGUCCCGUGCGUUUCGCACCCGCAAUCCAUUCAUUGCUCACUCACCCUCGCGCGCCCGUCCCGCCAGCUCCCGCGAGCUUCGCUGCUAAUUGAAUGCAAGCCGCUUUUACACCCCACAACACGUGAGACCAACCAUCUUUGAGGAAUUUAGGGGCAGACAAGGCGCACAACGGAAAAGGGGGGGGGGGGCGUGUCUCUGCCCUGAAAUACUUUUUGCAAAUACAGCGGGUGGCACAGAAAGACCUCCAGCGGACCGCAGGGGCCGCGCGCAGCCUGGCUCGCGCGCACGGUUCCCUUCCGCAACCCCUGCUAGCCGCCUCCUCCCCGAAGCCACGUUCAACACUAUGCAUAAUUGAUAGUGUUAGCAGAGCGCCUAGCCCUCCCUGCCAUUUUUGCCUGGAUCUGGGCAGAUACAAAUCCCGCUUUUCCCAGCCCCCUCCGCCAGACGAAAACGCGCAGCCCUGCAGGGCGCUCCGGGAAGAGCCGCCCCUCUUCCCAGCCCACCGCAGCCCUGCCCAGCCAGGAUUCUUUACGUCUGGUCUUUGUGGCAAAGUCGGUGCUGGCAGCCCACCGUCCACAGUGCUGACGCGGGGUAGGGUGGGGCGCCCUGCCACUCAAGCACCCCCACAGUCAGAUCCUGCCAUUCCUGACGGAUGGGGCACUGAAGCUGCUGGGGACAGAGACAGGGACAGGGAUGGUUACAAAACGUCUGCUCCUCUUGAACACUGUGGGCGAGGGAUGUAAAAUUUGAACAUUUCCACCCCCACCCCACACACCAGCCAGUAUCUUCACAGCCUUUCUAGUGCACACACACACACACACACACACACACACACACACACACACUGUCCCCCAAGCUGCAGUGGCAUUGCCACCGCCCCGCUGUCUCACACCCUCACACAACAGCUGGCCUCAGCAGACUUGGGACUUGCUGUUCCUGCUCUCCCUAACUGGCAAAACCCUGACACUUCACUUAGUGACAGGGAGGUGGAGACACAGGGAUAUCAAGGCAUUUGGCUGGACCCCGCUUUGGACCUUAGUGCUGCCUAUGUAGACAGAGACGGAGCCUACAAGGGACUGAGCUGCUGGCAAGAACCAGACAGAGGUUUGGGCUCAUGGAGAACCAGAGCCCCAGCCCCUUUCCCGUUUUGUAGGCAUCGGGAUUUUGGGGUGCACAUGGCCCCCAGCUCACAUCCAGGCAGGCAAUGGUCUCACUCAGCAGUCGAUGGCUGGUGUGUCUGGGGCCUCUGCAGAGAUCAAUAUCCCGAUUUGAAUGUUAAGCAUUUUAAUGAGCCCAGGAGGGAGUUGAGGCGAGGGACUGUGUGCAGCGUGCUGCAUCUAAAAAGACCACCCGGCUGGCUGGGGUUCUGUGGCUGCUUUGUAAAUUAAAUAUGAACAGACUGAGUGGGCACACUAGGAGUCCCACGCUGGCCCUAAUCCUUCAGUGGCAGCAAGAGAUCUGGUGAGCUGGGACCAACACAUCUCAAUCAGCCAAGUUCCGGACCCAGACUUCAAUAACAUGCUCAGCCCACCUAAGGGGAGGCCGCUGGGGCACCACCCUCAGAGAGAAGAUGUGGAGAAGGGCUGAAAGGUGAGAACACAGGACCGGCCCAGCCUGGGGACCCUGCAUCAGCCUCUAAUUUAGGCAUCAGACCUAAGGUUUGGCCCUGGCUGGGCCAGGGAAUGACUGGGCAUGCAUGGACACCUUUGUCUGCAGAGCUCGGGGUCAUCCUGGGUGAGUUGUCCUCUACUGGCAACCCAGAGAGAGUGGACCUAGGACCCCUCCCCACCAGAGGGAUCCAACGAGGCAAGUGCCCGGCAGUGGAACCAGGACUUUCUGAGGCUCAGGGUGGGCACAAAGGGUGGGGACGAGUGGGGAGGCUCCAGGCUAGGAACUCAAGGCCAGUGGGCCCUCUCCCUGGUUUUCACCUCCAUCUGGUUUUUUGUUUUCUUGGAGGAGGCCUGGACCAAGGGAGGCGUUGGAAGAGAGGGACGGGAAGACAGAAUUUGGGCGCUGGAUGGAGAAUGGGCUGCCAGCUCUCAGCUCCCAGCUCCCACGACCACGGGGGCCCUCUGCCAGCCUCUGGGGAGUCUCUCUGCGCCUCUUUUUUCUUGCUCUAUUGUUAGGGAUGCCGAAGUUGGGGAUUCUGUGGAGGAGACAGUGCCUCAGUCACAGGGGAGAGGUAGAUCUUGGCGCGGGGGCCUCCCUGGCGCUGGUGCCGAUCCCGGCAGCCCUGGAUAGCGCGCUCUCUAUAGCUGGCGCUUUUGUUCCCGAUCCUCCCCAGGGGGACAAACACCCCUUACCCCGCCUUUGACCUGCAGAGCCCUGUGCCUAUCCGGCGGGGCUGAAGCCCGAGUCGCCCGGGCGGGAGCCGCGACCCCCGGUUCCACCUGCAGACUGAGCUGGAAGGCAGCGCACACCCUCCUCGUGCGGGAGCCUUUGGGCUGCAGCGGCGAGCGAUGUUCGCGAGGAUACGGUUACUGCAGGCCGGAACCAGGACCCCACCCCGCUGCAGCCUGCACCGCCAAUCAUUAAAGAAACAGGCGUCAGUCAGCUGUGUGGACUCAGGGGUGGAGAAAGCGGAAAUCCAAAGUUCCAAAGCGUGAGAGGGCACAGGGCUACAAAUUCACAGCAGGGUAGCGAACUCGCUUGAGUGUUUCUCCAGGCUCAGUUUCCUAAACCCAGACAGACCCCGGGGCCGAUAGCCUGAGCUCAGGCCCGCUCCUCGCGGACUGACUUCUGAUUUCAACCUUGUGGACGCGUAAGGCUGCGAAGGUGCGAAGGGCUGAAAUCUGCAGGAUGUGACUUGCUAAAUCCUGGGCUCCGCGCGCGCUCAGGUUUCCGGCCAGCCCUGGCUCGCGAGCGCCCCCCCCCCCCCGGAAAACCGUCUUCCGGGGCUCAGAGGCGGGCGGGGAUCUGGAGAGCCUUUCGGUACCGGUGCACGCGCUACAGUGGGGCUCGCUCUCCCUGCCCAGUCAGCCUGCACCCCAGGAUCUGUAACCUCGCCUCCGAUUACAGGAAUGCAGUUUCGCGUGCGUGAUAUUCCCAGCUCGGAGAGCUUACGAGCGCCCCCUGACGGCUUCUUAAGAAAAAGCUCUCUGUGACCACACUGUCACCGUUAGGACGGGUUCUAGAAUCAGACUCUGUCGUGUAUGCCAGCUAUGCAGCCCUGGCUAAGUUACUUAACCUCUUUGUGCAUUAAGAAAAAAGGGGCAUAAAUUAUAGAAGCUACAUUCGGGGUCUUUUUUUUUACCGGUACCGGGGGAUCAAACUCACAACCACCUGCAUGCAAGGCAGGUGCUUAUGCCACUGAGCUAAACCCCCGACCCCUACGGUUGGCGUCUUUGUAAGGAUUUAGUCAGUCAAGGUAUGCAAGGUGCUUAGUGUAUGGCCCUUUGUGCUCAGAAUGGAAUUUGCUAGUAUUAUUACCUUGCAGAAUCGGGAGCAGGAAACUAGAAGUGCAGGUUGCACACCCCCUCAUGCUUCUGUCUUGCCUCUGGCAAGACGAGGACCUCAGCUCUGACCCCAGUGACCUGUCUUCACUACCCUCUGCACACAGAUGCCAUUGACACAGGCAGCAGUGAUAAGUAUUAUUAAUAAAUAAAAAUGGUUGCCAAGCAAGGUGGCACACACCUGUAUCCCAGCACUCAGGAGGCUGAGGCAGGAGGAUCUCUGCAAAUUUGAGACCAACUUGGGCUCCACAGUGAGUUCAAGGCCAGCCUUGAACACAGUGAGACCCUGUCUCAAAACAAGACCAAAAUAAUAACAGUAAGAGUAAAUAAUAAUUACAGUUAUUGUUUGUCAUGACUUCUAGUUUCAGGUACUUAAAUUUGUCACCCGCAGCCUUGUUUGCGAAGAGGACUUGCAGCUGCAGGCUUGGGGGGAAGGUUUUUAAUUAAAACCACGUUCUGUUUAAGUA